ensembl:miRNA
CACCGACCGAGAGAGACAGAAAAGGAGGCGGUCGAGGGAAUCUGAGAAGGCGCACAAGGUUUGUGUCCAAUACGCUCCACACCUUGCGCUACUCAGGUCUGCUCGUGCCCUCCCAUGGUAUCAGCUCUCCUGCGAUGUGGGGA